AAUACAAGCCGUUCUAUCGCUCCGUAGCAAUGCGGGGAGGAAAGUCCGGACAACACAGAGCGCCAUACUUCCUAACAGGAAGAAUUCCUGAAUAAGGAAUAUAGAAAGUGCUACAGAAAAUAACCGCCACUUCAAUUUUUGUCUUUCCCGUAGACAGCCGGAGUGGUAAGGGUGAAAAAGUGAGGUAAGAGCUCACAGUUACAGGUGGUGACACCUAUAACGAGUAAACCUUAUGGGUUGCAAGACCAAAUAUGCUGACGUUUCCGGGUUACACCGGAAGAAGGACUGCUCGUCCAAGUUAGCGGGUAGGUUGCUAAAGCCGUGCAGCGAUGUGCGGCGCAGAUAAAUGAUAGAAAGCUCACCUGAUCUAAAAAUCGUUAAGAGCUACAGAAUCCGGCUUACAGGCUUGUAUUUUUU
rnacentral:RNase_P_RNA from 3 species